UCGAGGAUCUUUCGCAAUGGGCGCAAGCCUGACGAAGCGACGCUGUGUGGACGAUGAAGGCCUUAGGGUUGUAAAGUCCUUUCGCGUACGAACAAGAGAGGUUGCCUAACACGCAGCCGAUUUGAGGGUACUACGUAAAGAAGCACCGGCUAACUCCGUGCCAGCAGCUGCGGUAAUACGGAGGGUGCAAGCAUUAAUCGGAUUUACUGGGCGUAAAGGGCGCGUAGGCGGGUUUAUAAGUCAAUUGUGAAAUUCCGGAGCUCAACUUCGGAGCGGCAAUUGAAACUGUAAGUCUAUAGAGGGAUGGCGGAGAAAAUGGAAUUCCACAUGUAGCGGUGAAAUGCGUAGAUAUGUGGAAGAACACCAGUGGCGAAAGCGGUUUUCUAGCUAUUACCUGACGCUGAGGCGCGAGAGCAUGGGGAGCAAACAGG
rnacentral:rRNA from 1 species